CAAGACUUCAAACCUUCUUUGACAUGGUGGACAAAAAUGCGGACGGUCGAAUCACUGAAGAAGAGGUGAAGGAGAUUAUAUCGUUAAGUGCUGGUGCUAACAAGUUGUCAAAAAUUCAAGAACGUGCUGAAGAAUACGCAGCACUUAUCAUGGAAGAGCUGGAUCCAGACAACCUUGGUUAUAUUGAGGUUC